rnacentral:lncRNA from 1 species
GGACCCUUCGGCAGCGUGAUGGUAGGUACUGGGCCGACAGGUGGAGGGAAGCGAAACCUAGGUGGUGUUCCUAGCGCCUUCUUCGGUGGGGAGGUCUUGUCUCCACUCUUUUUUGCAGGCGGUUUUCCUAGCGCCUGCUUCGGUGGGGAGGUCUUGUCUCCACUCUUUUUUGCAGGCGGUUUUCCUAGCGCCUGCUUCGGUGGGGAGGUCUUGUCUCCACUCUUUUUUGCAGGCGGUUUUCCUAGCGCCUGCUUCGGUGGGGAGGUCUGGUCUCCACCCUUUUUUGCAGUCAAAGGUACGACCAGCUUCCUCU